AAAACUAAUGAUGACAUUCCUUGGGUUACCCACCGAACGUAAGCAUAUUACUAUGUGGAGGAAAAGAAAAUAAAAAUGAUCCCUUUAAUAGUGGCGAACGAAACAGGGACAAGAUUAAGGGCGACAUCACUCACCCUUCUUUGGGUAGUGUAAAUGCCUUGGGUGUACAUGAAACUGCGGUCGCUCUUCAGCUUUUGAGAUAUUCGACGAAUACGAUAUAAUGUAUCUGUAAGUCUGCGACCAACGUUGAACUCACGUGCACCCCCAUAAGUCGGACAUAUUGCGAGUUAUGUCCAAUUGGAGAUGAUCGUCUUCGAGAUCUGAAUAUAAUCCUAUACCGAUAGCAAACAAGUACCAUGAGGGAAAGUUGAAAAGCACUCAUAAAAGAGAAUUAAUUGAACUUGAAAUCGAUAUGGAAGAAGGGUAUUUCAGGAGCACGACAUGUUCUGAUGGGGAGCUUACGCUUUAAACAUUAGUUCUGUCAUCAUGUUCUCAUGUCUCGAAGGGAGAUGAUAGUAUUGAAGUUUCUUCAACUCUACCACCCUGUUAAGGGAUAUCCUGCCGAUUUAUGUGAACAUGCUUCCCGAUUUUACCACCCGUCUUGAAACACGGACCAAGGAGUGUUAGGAUGUUGCGGGUUGUUCCAUUGAAUUGAGUAGCAUUCGUGUCUGAGCAAGACUGACUCUCUUUUUUAAGAUCAUUAGCAAUAUUCUAACGACCCGAAAAUCGGUGAACUUUUCCUGUGAAGGGUGAAGCCAGAAGAAAUUUUGGUGGAAGCCCGGAACUGUGCUGACGUGCAAAUCGCUUGUCUUACAUGGGAAAAGGGGCGAAAGACCAAUCGAACCGAUUAAUAGCUGGUUACCUCCGAAGUUUCCCUCAGGAAAGGUGCGUCUCGUCCUAAAGCAGGGACGGUAAAGCUUAUGAUUAGAAGUACCGGGGAAGAAUUUCCUCGACUGAUUCUCAAACUUUAAAUGUUCCUUAGUCGAAAUCCUCACGGAAUACGACUGGUGCUUUGAGAUGUUACUGGGCCUGUAUUUGUAAGAAAUACCGGCGAUGUGGGAUAAUCCGCAAGUCAAGUGAACCCGCUAAAGUGUAUGCUCGGAAAAUUCAAAAGGUGUUUCUGUAUUUAGACAGCAGGACGGUGGCCCUGGUAGUCGGAAUCCGCUAAGGAGUGUGUAACAACUCACCUGCCGAAUGCAGUUACCCUGAAAAUGGAUUGCGCUGAAGCAUACAGGGGAUACUUGACCUUCUCUAGACCUAGAGAAGUGUAGGAGGUUGUAAAGGAGACUUGUGAUUGCCAGUGAUGGCAUCGUUCAUCUCCAAUUAGUGCAGAUCUUGGUGGUAGUAAUAAGUACACUGAAUGGAAGGUUUUUUAAAGAACAAAUCGGUUCUCAGAACCACCUGAAUCAUCUGGCAUUUUUCUAGCUUUCUCGAUCACAUGCCCUGCCAGUGAGCAUGGUUCGUCAGAGGCCAUCCAGGACUUCCAGGUAUCGUCGCACUGAUGAUGCUUCAUGUUGCAGUAUGCAUUGUAUACACUACGCAUGCUAACACAAGGGGGAUACAGCGAUCUGGGUGCAGCCGCACCCUACUACCAAUAGACAGUCGCAAAAACAGCGGGCCGAGAGACAGCUUAUACCUCACUUCAACCUGCCACAAUUUCUAGCUGUCGGAAGUCGAAAGGUUUUUUCUGAAAACUUUUCUGAUGUGCUUCUCAUCGUUGUUGCUUCAUAUCAAGCGACCAUUUCCGUGGUCCGAUGUGAGGUAGGCUUUCACGGCAACUUCAUGUGGCCGUGAGUGAGACGAUCCUAAGCGGUGCAUUAAUCUGUUUCAUCCCUGAUUCUAGGUGUUUACUGCGAAAGGGAAACGAGCGUUGAAUCUCGUUCCAAUAUCCUCCAAAGGGCGACAUAAUUGUGCUACGCUUCGUUUUGACUAUGAACCUUAUGCGUUUCCGGCGCAUAUCAACAGAUUGAACACUGUUUAAUUGGUGCAACCAGAGAGACAGUGUACAUUUGAAUUAGGCUGCUCUUCUCGAGCGGUCUACGUUUCAUGUCAGAAUCCUUGAAAAGCUAAGCACAGCAUGGAGUUGAUUGAUCGUACCCAUAUCCGCAUCAGGUCCUCAAGGUUAAAUAGCCUUUGGUUCCUAGACUAUCGUAGGUAAGGGAAGUCGGCAAAUUGAUUCCGUACCUUAGGAAAAAGGAAUGGCUCUGAAGGUUUGUAUUUCGCUGUGAGGCGGCCGCUGCGACGAGUUGACGCGAUACCUUCGGGAUCGCUGAAGCCGUUGCGGGGCCACCUGUAUGGCGUUUUACGCUAACAACCUUUUCAGAACUGCAGCGGACAAGAGGAAUCCGACAGUUUAACUAAAACCAAGCUUUUCGCAAACGUUGAGACGUUUAUAUGAAAGGUGAUUUCUGCCCAAUGCGCUGUUUGUCAAGUUGUAGAAUUCAGACACAAUUAAGCGCGCGUCAAUGGCAGGGGUAACUGUGACCCUUUUAAGGUAGCCAAAUGCCUCGUCAUCUAAUUAGUGACGCGCAUGAAUGGAUCAACGAGACUCCUACUGUCCCUAUCUGCGUUCUAGUGAAACCACAGCCAAGGGAACGGGCUUGGCUGUUAUAUAGACAGCGGGGAAAGAAGACCCGGUUGCGCUUGACUCUAUUUUGGGAUUGUAAGAGGACUUGAGAGGUGUAGCAUACGUGGGAGUCUCACGACGACCUUGAAAUACCACGACUCUCAAUGUCUUUUUACUUAUCUCUUGACCUAUCACUUCGUUCUGCGAUCUAUGUGAGAGAGAGACAUUCUCAGAUGGGGAGUUUGGCUGGGGCGGUACAUCUGUUAUAACAAACCACAGGUGUCCUAAGGCAAAGUCAUGGAGAACAGAAAUCUCCAGUAGACCAAAAAGGGAAAACUUUGCUCUACUGGUUUACUCAGCACGUAAAUCAGUUCUGAAAGGAAGGCCUAUCGAUCCUUAGCGCAUUUUUUUCCAACGAUCGGACGCUGAGGUGCCGGAAAAGUCACCACCGGGAUAACUAGUUCGUGGCCGCCGAGAGAUCAUAUCGACGCGGCAAGUUGAUUUUUCGAUGUCGGCUCUUUCUAUCCUAAGCGUGUAGAAGCGCUUAAUGGUCGGAUUGUUCACCCGUAGUUAAAGGGAACGUGAGCUGGGUUCAGACCGUCGUGAGACAGGUUAGUUUUAUCCUACUGUCUUCUUCCUUCUAAAGGAUACUAGUCAAGUACGAGAGGAACGACUAGUACGCACCUACAGCUCUGCGGCAGGAGGGAACUCCAAGGCUGCAAGACCGCGUGCGCAGGAUAAAUAUUGAAUGCCUCUAAAACUGAAACCUCUCUUUGCGGAGGAUAACACUCCUUGUUUACAGAUCAUUUUUAACAAUCUUCAAAGGAGAUCAUGCCGAAUGAAAGACCAUCAUGUAAAAGUGUAAGUUGUACGGUUUAAGCACCUUUAUGAUGCGAUUUCCUAAGACUCUGCACUGGUUUCCAGGACCAUGAAUCAUCUGGCACUUUUUGCGGGUGCCUCCAAAAUUUGAGGGUUGUCGACUGAAGUUUUGAUGCCCCAGUUUGAGUUUGAGAUUUUGGGGUUUAAACCCUAAACCCCAAACUCUAUACAACCCUAAUCCCUAAAGCACUCCAGAGUAAACCUUGUGAUCUCUGGAGUAAAACUUCUCACAAGAAUUUUGCACUGUUCCUAUACCUCAAUUUUACCCUACACAAUUUCUAGCCCUCAGAAGUUACAGUGUUUCAAGUGAAAAUAUUUCAACUUGCUCGAUGUGAGCAACCUCAGGAUUGGUCUACACUUAGAAAUCAUAGCAGUUUUGCUAUGUUUUAUCUAUUGUGAAGCAAUGCUUCUUCUGCCUCAGGGCUAAGAACUUGUUAUUCUACAUCUAUAAUUCUCCAUCUCUCUUGAGAUUUGAACAGAUGUAACCCG
rnacentral:rRNA from 1 species